rnacentral:rRNA from 2 species
CAUGUGGUUUAAUUCGAAGCAACGCGAAGAACCUUACCAGGGCUUGACAUGCCGCUGACCGGUUUAGAGAUAGAUCUUUACCCUUCGGGGUACAGCGGACACAGGUGGUGCAUGGUUGUCGUCAGCUCGUGUCGUGAGAUGUUGGGUUAAGUCCCGCAACGAGCGCAACCCUUGUCUUUAGUUGCCAUCAUUAAGUUGGGCACUCUAAAGAGACUGCCGAUGACAAAUCGGAGGAAGGUGGGGAUGACGUCAAAUCAUCAUGCCCUUUAUGUCCUGGGCUACACACGUGCUACAAUGGUCGGUACAACGAGAAGCAAGUCAGCGAUGGCAAGCAAAUCUCUAAAAGCCGAUCCCAGUUCGGAUUGCAGGCUGCAACUCGCCUGCAUGAAGUCGGAGUUGCUAGUAAUCGCGGAUCAGAAUGCCGCGGUGAAUGCGUUCCCGGGUCUU